rnacentral:lncRNA from 1 species
UUGCUACUUCAAAUCAACAUGUCUGUGUUGGAUUUAGAACAAGGGAAAAAAAACAAUAAUUCAAUAAAUAUUCUAAGGCAUCAUAUAGAUCACAAUUUACAAAAAACCUCAUCCAUAAUGAUAUGAGAUUGAUGAAGAUAUUAAUGAAGAACACAAAUAUCUAUAAUAAUGUUCAAGAACACAAACAUUCAUAAUAAUAUUGAAGAAUGCAAGCAUCC